rnacentral:rRNA from 1 species
GACGAACGCUGGCGGCGUGCCUAAUACAUGCAAGUUGAGCGCUGAAGGUUGGUACUUGUACCAACUGGAUGAGCAGCGAACGGGUGAGUAACGCGUGGGGAAUCUGCCUUUGAGCGGGGGACAACAUUUGGAAACGAAUGCUAAUACCGCAUAAAAACUUUAAACACAAGUUUUAAGUUUGAAAGAUGCAAUUGCAUCACUCAAAGAUGAUCCCGCGUUGUAUUAGCUAGUUGGUGAGGUAAAGGCUCACCAAGGCGAUGAUACAUAGCCGACCUGAGAGGGUGAUCGGCCACAUUGGGACUGAGACACGGCCCAAACUCCUACGGGAGGCAGCAGUAGGGAAUCUUCGGCAAUGGACGAAAGUCUGACCGAGCAACGCCGCGUGAGUGAAGAAGGUUUUCGGAUCGUAAAACUCCGUUGGUAGAGAAGAACGUUGGUGAGAGUGGAAAGCUCAUCAAGUGACGGUAACUACCCAGAAAGGGACGGCUAACUACGU